rnacentral:rRNA from 1 species
AGGGAAUCUUCCGCAAUGGACGAAAGUCUGACGGAGCAACGCCGCGUGAGUGAUGAAGGUUUUCGGAUCGUAAAGCUCUGUUGCCAGGGAAGAACGUCCGUUAGAGUAACUGCUAACGGAGUGACGGUACCUGAGAAGAAAGCCCCGGCUAACUACGUGCCAGCAGCCGCGGUAAUACGUAGGGGGCGAGCGUUGUCCGGAAUUAUUGGGCGUAAAGCGCGCGCAGGCGGCUGUUUAAGUCUGGUGGUUAAUCCUGGGGCUCAACCCGAGGUCGCACUGAAAACUGGGCAGCUUGAGUGCAGAAGAGGAGAGUGGAAUUCCACGUGUAGCGGUGAAAUGCGUAGAGAUGUGGAGGAACACCAGUGGCGAAGGCGACUCUCUGGGCUGUAACUGACGCUGAGGCGCGAAAGCGUGGGGAGCAAAC